GGGAGGAAGACCACCAGAAUAGAAAGGCAAGCCUCUGCAGCAGGGGCCAGCUGUCCAAGUCCUCGAGUCCAGCCAGAGGUGGUGAACUUGAAUCUUUGAAUCUGGUCCAUUUGGGGACAGUCAUCCAAGGAGAGCCUUGACUGUCACAGCCCAGAGGCAUUAACUGGCUCUGAAGAUCAUCAUGCUGUUCCCACAGCGCUUCAUUUUCAUAAACACUCACUAAUUAACACGAUUCGGAGAGUCCUGAUUUUGUGGGGCCUCAUGCUCUGAUGACCUUCAGGAGCUCCGGGGUGGGGGGGUUGAAGCGGGUCACUGAUUUAAUACACUGAACGUAUGGCCCCAAGAACACUGGUUACAUCAAGACUACCAUGUCUCAUCUCUGCUCGAUUAUAAACUUUCGACUAUUUCCCAAUGAUGCUACUUCCGAAAAACAUCUCCGACCAGUACUUACCAGUUUGAAGGAUGUGAGCUCCAGAUGGCUGCACGUUGAGGUGGAGAACAGCUGCCAGCCCUGCCCGCAACUGAAAGCUGGGUAAGAAGUGAAUGUGUGUUGUGUUUAAGCACUGAAAUGUCACCAUCCGCUCGUUACUGCAGCAUAGCCUAUUUUAUCCUGACUAAAUCCAUACCCUUGACCGUCCCAUGACAGUCCUCCACCUCCCAAAGGCCAGGAAUAAAUU
rnacentral:lncRNA from 9 species